rnacentral:lncRNA from 1 species
UGAAGAGGAACCUCUACUUUACUUUUUACAAUAGGUUGAACUUUGGGAUGUCUGACCAAAUGUUUUCCGUCUCACCACUCAGAGUGGCCACAUGCCAGUUGCAAAGAAUAAGAUUAUAUUCAUGAGCAAGUCAGAAUCUGUCCUGUGAUAAAUGCCUGGGGGAUGAAGGUCAGCAUCUGCUCUGUCAUUUGAAUUUGAUAUUAGAAAAUUUAAAUCUGAAAAGAGAAUCUCGAAGUGGGUAUCAGAAGAAGAGAAGAUGUGAGGGACAAAAGGAUAGGAUCUACAGUGCUGUUACAUCCUCACUGGCAUCAACAAUUUAGACUCAUCUCUAUAUCCAUGUGUAACUUGUUACAGUCUGCAGUCAUAAGCUGGCCUCAACACACUGAAGUAUAUUCAGCAUUAUAAACACACUGAAACACCAAAAAGGCUGAGAUGCACAUAAUUUGAAGAGUGAAAAUGGCUCGAGAGCAUGAAGUCUCAUUAUCUGUAGAUGGAGUUUCUCUUUUGUUGCCCAGGCUGGAG